CAGCGCCGUAAUCUGCUGUGGAGCGGCAUGUGGGCCAACUGCAGCGACUGCAUCGUUUUCCAGGAACUAGAGCCGCCUCUGAAAGAGACCGACUCGGAGGAUUCACUCAACAGAUUCCUGCUAUACAGUCGGCAGCAGGAUGUCGACUCGGAGAUGUUGACGACGUUUGUCAGGAACUCGGCUUGCAAUGGCCUGACGGCGAGCGUCACACUACCUCAUGAGAAAGAGUUUUGCAUCUAGACAUGCGAGUGGAGGAUGCUUUGGGAGAUCUUGGAUCUUUUUGCCUCUCCUGUGCUACACUAAAGUGAACCAGGAGGCCUCAGAAAGUAGCGAUAAUUUUGUUAAACACAGCAAAGCCAAACCCAUCCAUAGGUUUCAUUUUCAGAGCUGCAGCUGCUGAGGCGGGAAGACCCGGCAGAAUCCACCAUCAAAACCCUGGAAAUCCCAGCAGUCAGAAAUACCUGAUCACCUGCACAGGAAGGAGCAGUUUGUCUUCUCAUCUGACUUUAUUCUUUUGAGAUUAUCAGAGUGGCAUUAAUGUGAUGCUCUGAC